rnacentral:rRNA from 1 species
UACGAAGGGGGCUAGCGUUGUUCGGAAUUACUGGGCGUAAAGCGCACGUAGGCGGAUUUGUAAGUCAGGGGUGAAAUCCCGAGGCUCAACCUCGGAACUGCCUUUGAUACUGCAAAUCUCGAGUCCGGAAGAGGUGAGUGGAAUUCCUAGUGUAGAGGUGAAAUUCGUAGAUAUUAGGAAGAACACCAGUGGCGAAGGCGGCCCACUGGUCCGGUACUGACGCUGAGGUGCGAAAGCGUGGGGGAGCAAACAGG